UGGCCACUAACUGACAAACCAUCCACAGCUGAAAUUCAGCAGGUAUUAACAGCCUUACCUACCCUAUAAAAACUGCUACUUCGGUACACUGGAGGAGUGAAACAUGGGAAGCCACAGGAAGGAGUUUGGGUGACUGAGGAACUGCAGAGAAGGUUUUGGAACCAGCCAGGAGCAGGCAGAGAUGAAAAGAAGGACCUGUGAAUGGAGAACUGGGAAAAUACACGACAUAUGGGAAUAACUUGUUUCUUUGGAAGUUUUUUUACGGUACCCGGGCGGAGGUUUUUGUGGGGUACCCGAAAAGACUUCGAGACGAUUGUACAAAGGGACAAAUUCAAUGAGCGGCAUACCAGCCCCUCGGUUCUAACGGGGGGUUGCGAAUCUUGGGGGACCAGUGGCUGACGUGAAGUGGGUCCGUUUCGACCCAGGCUGAUCUUUGAGACUGUCUCUGGGUUUCACGGAGCAGCGUGAGUGAACAUUUGGGACUGUCCUGGCCUUGGGAGCCUAAUUGAUUACUGUGCUGCUUACUAGUCGUCCUUGUUUUCAUGUAUUUGGUAUACUAUAUGAUUGAGUACUGUGCUGCUUCUAACUAGUCGUUUUGUUUACCUAUAUAAGGCGUACUAUAGCACAUAAUGUGCUGAUAACUAGUCUCUUGUUUUACAUGUAUUAUACUUGCCUGUAACUGGAAGCUUCAAUGAUGGUACAUGUGACCCUGCAAUUCAUGGAAAUAAUUAAUUGCGUACACAUGGCAUACUGCCAUUAAGAGUUGAUUUGUAGAGGUUUCCAUGUGUCACUUUCUCAGUAGCUAUCUAUCCAACUGUAAGAUGUGUGUGUGUAAAUAAUGGUGUAAUAAAGAAACUUGAGUUUUA